rnacentral:rRNA from 1 species
UACGUAGGGUGCGAGCGUUAAUCGGAAUUACUGGGCGUAAAGCGUGCGUAGGCGGUUCGUUAAGUCUGUUGUGAAAGCCCCGGGCUCAACCUGGGAAUGGCAAUGGAUACUGGCGAGCUAGAGUGUGUCAGAGGAUGGUGGAAUUCCCGGUGUAGCGGUGAAAUGCGUAGAUAUUGGGAAGAACACCGGUGGCGAAGGCGGCUCUCUGGACCGAGACUGACGCUAAGGCGCGAAAGCGUGGGAGCAAACAGG